rnacentral:rRNA from 1 species
AACGAACGCUGGCGGCAUGCCUAACACAUGCAAGUCGAACGAGACCUUCGGGACCAUGGGCGCACGAGUGCGUAACGCGUGGGAACCUGCCCAUAUGUUCGGAAUAACUCCCCGAAAGGGGUGCCUACACCGGAUAAUGUCUUCUGACCAAAUAUUUAUCGCCUUUGGUUGGGCCCUAGUUGGAUUAGCUAGUGGGUAGGGUAAAAGCCUACCAAGGCGACGAUCAAUAGCUGGUCUGAGAGGCUGAUCAGCCACACUGGGACUGAGACACGGCCCAGACUCCUACGGGAGGCAGCAGUGGGGAAUAUUGGACAAUGGGCGAAAGCCUGAUCCAGCAAUGCCGCGUGAGUGAUGAAGGCCUUAGGGUUGUAAAGCUCUUUUAACCGGGAUGAUAAUGACAGUACCGGGAGAAUAAGCUCCGGCUAACUCCGUG